UCCGUUGUCGUCCAGCGGUUUGGAUAUUUGGCUUUCACCCAGGAGACCUGGGUUCAAUUCCCGGCAACGGAA
rfam:Ipomoea nil DNA, scaffold: scaffold2144, cultivar: Tokyo-kokei standard.